GACGAACGCUGGCGGCGUGCUUAACACAUGCAAGUCGAGCGGUAAGGCCCUUUCGGGGGUACACGAGCGGCGAACGGGUGAGUAACACGUGGGUGACCUGCCCUCAGUUCUGGGAUAAGCCUGGGAAACCGGGUCUAAUACUGGAUAUGACCUCAUGACGCAUGUUGUGGGGUGGAAAGCCUUGUGCGACUGAGGAUGGGCCCGCGGCCUAUCAGCUUGUUGGUGGGGUGAUGGCCUACCAAGGCGACGACGGGUAGCCGGCCUGAGAGGGCGACCGGCCACACUGGGACUGAGACACGGCCCAGACUCCUACGGGAGCAGCAGUGGGGAAUCUUGCGCAAUGGGCGAAAGCCUGACGCAGCG
rnacentral:rRNA from 1 species